GGGGGGGUGAAUUAGGUUUCUAAAAUAAAAAACCAAAUAAUCAAGCAAAUUAAAAAACCGAUGCAAAUAAAAGAAAUGCAAACUCGAAAAGCACACGAUCAAUUUGUUUCGAGGUUCGGCACUUUGCCUACGUCCCCGCCAACUUCUCAACACUCGAGAAUGUUGGAUCUCCACUAGAUGAUGCUUUUACGGGCAAGCACCAAGCCUUCACAUCAACUCCUUCUUUCAAGCUUCAAGAUUUUGCUUUUCUCUCUUUUUACAAGAUUAAAUCUCACUACAAGUUUCACUCAAGAUUAGAGAGAGAAUUGAGAGCUAAGAGUAUUAAGAUCACUGAAGUUUUUAGGCUCAAAUGAACUAUCAAGUU
rnacentral:lncRNA from 1 species